rnacentral:tRNA from 1 species
GGGUAGUUAGCUCAUCUGGUAGAGCGCCGGUCUCCAAAACCGGAGGUGGCAGGUUCGAGACCUGCACGACCCG